rnacentral:rRNA from 1 species
ACAGAGGUGGCAAGCGUUGUUCGGAAUUACUGGGCUUAAAGGGUGUGUAGGCGGUUUAGUAAGCAACUCGUGAAAGCUCCAGGCUCAACCUGGGAACUGCAAGUUGGACUGCUGAACUUGAGGCGCGUAGGGGUCAACGGAACUCUGGGUGGAGGGGUGAAUGGAGUAGAGAUCCGGGGGAACGACGGUGGUGUAGACGGUUGGCGGGGCGCGACCUGAAGCUGAUGCGCGAAAGCGAGGGCAGGAAACGG